GGAAAGGAAGUUUGGGGUCAUAUUGAUGGGGGUAGUGUGGCACUGGAGGACAAAGAUCAACGAGCUUCUUGGGAAAGCAAGGAUGCCCGAGUCAUGUCUUGGAUUCUUGGAUCUGUUGAUCCCCAUAUUAUCUUGAAUUUAUGCUCAUUCAAGAAUGCUCGUGAUAGGUGGAAUCAUAUCAAGUGGCUAUAUACUCAGAAUAAUGCAGCUAGGAGAUUUCAACUCGAACUAGAGAUGUCAAAUUUCUCUCAAGGAGCUCUCUGUGUGGAGGGGUUUUAUUUUGGUUUUUGUAACUUGUGGGCUAAGUAUAUAGAUAUUGUAUACACUUCAAUUCCGGGAACAAUUUUGGUCGAUAUUCAAGCUGUUUAUGAAGCAAUUAUGUGGGCACAGUUUCUUAUGAAACUAAGGCUUAAAUUUGAAUUUAUUUGUGCUAAUCUAAUGAACCGAGAUCAUGUGCCUCCACUUGAUAUGUGUUUGGGAGAGAGAUUUUGAGAGGAGCAAAGAUUGAUGACCCAAACAGCCAUGGAAGAAGCUACUCCCGCUCUUGUGGCAUAUGCAGCUCAAGGAAAAACCAGAGGGAUUUGAGCACCACUCGAUGCUAUAGUUGCAAAGGUUAUGGGCAUCUCGCUGCAAAUUGCUCUAAGAAAACUUGCAGCUAUUGCAAUAAGCAAGGACAUAUCAUCAAGGAUUGCCUGAUACAUCCUCCACGUCACCAAGAAACUGCCUACUCAGCUACUACCGAGGCUACUAGUGCUGCCAGCUCUACCUUGUCCACUUCCUUUCACGUUCCCGCUUCCACUUCUCAAAAUCUCACCUCUAUUACACCAGAAAUGGUACAACAAAUCAUCAUUUCAGCUCUUUCAGCUUUUGGUAUUUCAGGAUCAGGUGACGGAAAGAUGAUCGAAAGGGGUCCCAAAGAGGGUCAACUGUUUCCAUUAUGUUUAGAUUCAAAAUCUUUUGAGUCAAAAUAUUUAUCUUUGUUUUCUUGUAAUGUUGGUACUUUGAGUGUGAAGGAUUGGCAUUGGCGAUUGGGCCAUCCUAAUUCUCACAUAUUUCAUAAGUUGUUAUCUUCCAGUUUAAUUGGCAAUAAAGAGCUCUAUUCUCCUGA